UACGUAGGGGGCAAGCGUUGUCCGGAAUUAUUGGGCGUAAAGAGCGUGUAGGCGGCCAGGUAGGUCUGCUGUGAAAACUCGAGGCUCAACCUCGAGACGUCGGCGGAAACCAUCUGGCUAGAGUCCGGAAGAGGAGAGUGGAAUUCCUGGUGUAGCGGUGAAAUGCGCAGAUAUCAGGAAGAACACCCGUGGCUAAGGCGGCUCUCUAGUACGGUACUGACGCUGAGACGCGAAAGCGUGGGGAGCGAACAGG
rnacentral:rRNA from 1 species